UACGGGGGGGGCAAGCGUUGUUCGGAAUUACUGGGCGUAAAGGGCGCGUAGGCGGCCCGCUAAGUCGAACGUGAAAUCCCUGGGCUCAACCCAGGAACUGCGUCCGAUACUGGCAGGCUUGAAUCCGGGAGAGGGAUGCGGAAUUCCAGGUGUAGCGGUGAAAUGCGUAGAGAUGUGGAGGAACACCGAUGGCGAAGGCAGCCUUCUGGGCCAACACUGACGCUCAUGCACGAAAGCGUGGGGAGCAAACAGG
rnacentral:rRNA from 1 species